ACCUACGGCCACACCGGACUGAAAGUGCCCGAUCCCGUCUGAUCUCGGAAGCUAAGCGGGCCCGGGCCCGGCUAGUACCUGGAUGGGAGACCACCUGGGAAUCCUGGGUGCCAUAGGCU
rnacentral:rRNA from 1 species